rnacentral:lncRNA from 1 species
CUGGACUGUGUAGAACAAAUAAUUAGAGAAACAAAGAGAACUGUUGCUGUGUUGGACACUUGCUCCCAUCUAUUUUCUUCUCUAGAAUCCACUGCCCUGGAAUGAGUCAUUUUUUUUAGAAGCAGAGGUGGAGCCACUGAGGAAGCACAGGCGAGCCCUCCCCAGCGUGUACUCACUGGUCCCCAACAGAAGAACAGCUGCCGCAUCCACUGAGCAGGCUUCCAUUGUGGUGGGUUGUGUCACCCCACAAUGUCACUGUUGCUGAGUCUCCAUCGCCUCUGUGUUGUGGAGCAGUUAGAGACACACAGCAGUGUCUGUGAGUGGCUCUGUUGAAGGACCGUUUUCUAGAUGAGAGGCACAUCUCAACACAGCUCACUGAUCAGACUCAGCAAUUCCAUUCUGCAUCUUUUCUCAUCACCUCCGUGACCACCCAGGACAACCCCAUCAGGGCCCUGUCACCAGGCCCAGUCCAGCUCCAUGAUAACCAAGACACAGGUCCAGAGACAACCAUCCUGCAUCAUGCCUGCAUCUGAACCCCCUUGGUGGGUAGUGACCAGCAUAACAUGGAAGAAGCCAGGGCAGCAUGCGGCCAGCUGCUCUGCAGCCCCAGAUGGCUCCUGGGCCUUGGGAAGUCAUUCUUAAAGGGGAAGCUGGUCACUUUGAGGUCCCUGAAGGGAAGGGUGAAUGUGCAUCCCAACAGCCCUGGCAGCCAGCAGCAUGCCAUACAUCUUCUCACCCAACCUGUGUGACAGAGGGCCCCUCCUGGGGCACAAGUCCCAUACCUAAAGCAUCCUGUCCCAGUUGGACCUCAUCCUGAGCCCUGGGAGGGGAGGGGCAUCAUGGGCCCCCCUGCAGCAGCCAGGAUUACCACCCAGGGGACUUGGCCUUCUGUGGCCCUGGCCAGACUUAGAAUUUGGCCCAAGACAAGACAAACUCACUCGGAGCAG